rnacentral:rRNA from 1 species
UAGUCCAAACCGUAAAUGAUGCACGCUAGAUGUAUCCUGCAAUUAGGUGGGAUGUGUCGUAAGCUAACGCGUUAAGCGUGUCGCCUGAGUAGUAUAGUCGCAAGACUGAAACUCAAAGGGAUAGGCGGGGGAACACACAAGCAGAGGAUUGCCUCGAUUAAUUGGAUAAUAAGCCAAGAAUCUUACCUAGGCUUGACAUCUCGAGAACUCUAUCGAAAGACUGAGGUGCCCUUCGGGGAACUCGAUGACAGGUGCUGCAUGGCCGUCGUCAGCUCGUGCCGCAAGGUGUCCGGUUAAGUCCGGAAACAAGCGCAACCCUCGUCGCUAGUUAGAAUGUCUAGCGAGACUGCCUCGGUAACGAGGAGGAAGGAGAGGGAUGACGUCAGGGUCACUAUGGCCCUUAUGCCUAGGGGCGUCAGAGACAAUACAAUGGGUAUACAGCAGGUAGCGAAACCGUGAGGUCAAGCCAAUCCCC